GGGCACGUGGUCUAGGGGUAUGACGUCUGCUUCGCACUGAUCCAAGUAUAAAAAUGACCCCUAACAUAGGAAUCAUCUUAUGUACUGAUCUACAGUGGUCUGCUGAAGGUCCGGGGUUCAAUUCCCCGCGUGUCCA